rnacentral:sRNA from 14 species
CACAAAUGCGCCUAGGGUUCCGCUUCAUUUGUAAGGGCUGGUCCGAGAGGUGCACACGGCGUCUGCCGUGACACGGAGGGAUAAAAGCCCGGGAGAC